AUGAGUCAAGGAGUCAUGCGACUUUGCACGGCCAGUCGUCGUUGUGUCUGUGAGUCGUCGUCGUGUCCAAGUGCUCGUCUUGGUGAUGAUUCGUUGGAGUGGAAGCGGUGCGCGCGGUGUUCCGUGAGUCAUGUCCAUGUCCUCGUGGAGCGUCCUGGUUGCGGCCAGUGUGGAUUCGGUGUGAUGCCGAAGGCGGACGAUGGUAGGCAAGGCCAUCGUAAAGCAAGGAGGUGUGCGAUUAGUGGAGAGUGGAUCUACUGCAAGCAUGUGCAAGAAGUAUGGUGCGGAUCGAGUGUAAGGCAGCGGCCAAGCAAUGGCGGUCGCACAACAUUGUAG
rnacentral:rRNA from 1 species